rnacentral:lncRNA from 10 species
CUGGGGUGUAUACCCUAGGGUUUGUUGUUGCCUGCCGAGAAAGAAUUAGGACACGGACAUGUGGGUGGGUUAAGGAGUGGAAAGCUUAAUAGACAGAAGAAAGGAGAGAGGAGAGCAGCUCCUUGAGAAAGAGACGUGUUCGAAAAAGGAAGGAUGAAAGUAGUGGCUAGCCUCAGCUUUAGGGGCAGGCGAUGAGGAGCCAGAUCAGUAUUUCUAUCUCAGAUUCAGAAGACCCAGCUGUCCAUGUGCAUCAUCGGGGAAGCAUCUUGCUCUCAGAAUAAGCAGCUCAAUCCAGCUCCCAAAUUCUGACCGUGGCUUCAGUGCCUUUGUGG